AGUCGAACGAACUCUGGUAUUGAUUGGUGCUUGCAUCAUGAUUUACAUUUGAGUGAGUGGCGAACUGGUGAGUAACACGUGGGAAACCUGCCCAGAAGCGGGGGAUAACACCUGGAAACAGAUGCUAAUACCGCAUAACAACUUGGACCGCAUGGUCCGAGUUUGAAAGAUGGCUUCGGCUAUCACUUUUGGAUGGUCCCGCGGCGUAUUAGCUAGAUGGUGGGGUAACGGCUCACCAUGGCAAUGAUACGUAGCCGACCUGAGAGGGUAAUCGGCCACAUUGGGACUGAGACACGGCCCAAACUCCUACGGGAGGCAGCAGUAGGGAAUCUUCCACAAUGGACGAAAGUCUGAUGGAGCAACGCCGCGUGAGUGAAGAAGGGUUUCGGCUCGUAAAACUCUGUUGUUAAAGAAGAACAUAUCUGAGAGUAACUGUUCAGGUAUUGACGGUAUUUAACCAGAAAGCCACGGCUAACUACGUGCCAGCAGCCGCGGUAAUACGUAGGUGGCAAGCGUUGUCCGGAUUUAUUGGGCGUAAAGCGAGCGCAGGCGGUUUUUUAAGUCUGAUGUGAAAGCCUUCGGCUCAACCGAAGAAGUGCAUCGGAAACUGGGAAACUUGAGUGCAGAAGAGGACAGUGGAACUCCAUGUGUAGCGGUGAAAUGCGUAGAUAUAUGGAAGAACACCAGUGGCGAAGGCGGCUGUCUGGUCUGUAACUGACGCUGAGGCUCGAAAGUAUGGGUAGCAAACAGGAUUAGAUACCCUGGUAGUCCAUACCGUAAACGAUGAAUGCUAAGUGUUGGAGGGUUUCCGCCCUUCAGUGCUGCAGCUAACGCAUUAAGCAUUCCGCCUGGGGAGUACGGCCGCAAGGCUGAAACUCAAAGGAAUUGACGGGGGCCCGCACAAGCGGUGGAGCAUGUGGUUUAAUUCGAAGCUACGCGAAGAACCUUACCAGGUCUUGACAUACUAUGCAAAUCUAAGAGAUUAGACGUUCCCUUCGGGGACAUGGAUACAGGUGGUGCAUGGUUGUCGUCAGCUCGUGUCGUGAGAUGUUGGGUUAAGUCCCGCAACGAGCGCAACCCUUAUUAUCAGUUGCCAGCAUUAAGUUGGGCACUCUGGUGAGACUGCCGGUGACAAACCGGAGGAAGGUGGGGAUGACGUCAAAUCAUCAUGCCCCUUAUGACCUGGGCUACACACGUGCUACAAUGGAUGGUACAACGAGUUGCGAACUCGCGAGAGUAAGCUAAUCUCUUAAAGCCAUUCUCAGUUCGGAUUGUAGGCUGCAACUCGCCUACAUGAAGUCGGAAUCGCUAGUAAUCGCGGAUCAGCAUGCCGCGGUGAAUACGUUCCCGGGCCUUGUACACACCGCCCGUCACACCAUGAGAGUUUGUAACACCCAAAGUCGGUGGGGUAACCUUUUAGGAACCAGCCGCCUA
rnacentral:rRNA from 2 species